rnacentral:rRNA from 1 species
CCUACGGGCGGCAGCAGUGGGGGAUAUUGCACAAUGGGGGAAACUCUGAUGCAGUGACGCCGCGUGAGUGAAGAAGUAAUUCGUUAUGUAAAGCUCUAUUAGCAGGGAAGAAACAGACGGUACCUGAGUAAGAAGCCACGUCUAACUACGUGCCAGCAGCCGCGGUAAUACGUAGGGGGCAAGCGUUAUCCGGAUUUACUGGGUGUAAAGGGAGCGUAGAGGGCGAAAAAAGUCUGAAGUGAAAGCCCGAGGCUGAACCUCGGAACUGACUUGGAAACUUUUUUGCUGGAGUACCGGUGAGGUAAGCGGAAUGCCUAGUGUAGCGGUGAAAUGCGUAGAGAUUAGGAGGAACACCAGUGGCGAAGGCGGCUUAC